ACCUGAAUCAUAGCUCAGUUGGUAGAGCAUGAGACUCUUACUUUCAGGUUCAUGGGUUUGAGCCCCACAUUGGGCA
rnacentral:tRNA from 1 species